ensembl:lncRNA novel transcript
GGGUGGAUGGAGGCCAAGGGUGGGCCCCUUGGAGACAGCCUUGGGGUGCAGCCAGCUCUGCCACCUCUCCCUGGCUUCCUUCCCUCCAACCUGUGACUCCCGGGAAGUCCCUGAUGGGCCAGCCACUUGGGGCCCGGAAGUAACUGUGGUGUGUGGUGGUCACCCUCACCAGAGUUCAUGGGGUGGAGCAAGGGGGACAGAAUCUCCCCCAAAAUCAGGUGUCUUGUUCCCAGGCCCAGCACAGAGACCUGGCCCCCAGACAUCUCUGGACAUUUGUUAAGAGUGGACGACUGCUUCCAUUACACAGGAGAGGAAACCGAGGCUCUAAGGGGUCCCAGACUUGCCUGGCUGCCACAGUGAGCAGGCAACAAAUACCAAGUGGCUGCCGCAGUGGGGUAGGUGGGAGGCAGUGGCUGAACCAGAAAGUGCUGCCGUCAAUUCUGCUGGUUGCAUGAGUCUUAGGAGAUGAUCAAAGGGCAGAUUGUGGGGAGAUAAAAAGUAUGAGUGGGGAACAGGAUUGGGGGGAGCGGAAGAGCCUCAAAGACCCUGCGACAUUCUCAACGUCUCCACGGUGACUCAGAGAUAGCUCCAACCCGCAUGGCGGGCAGAGUGUGGAGGGGACGGCUUUGUGGCUGGAUUAGUCAUCCCCGUGCAGCUCACCCCAAAUCCCGGCUUCCAGCCCUGGGCCGUCCAUGCUGGGAUGGAGGAAGGGCAGCCUCUCCGCAGGGCCACGUCCUGGAGCCUGAUGACCCUGGCCAGCACACAGCUGAAAGCAGCCCACUGUGCAAAUGGUGCAUGAUACAGGGGGUCGGCUCUGUGUUCCCCACGGUGGCCAAGGGACCAGCUGUGCCUCAGUUUCCCUUAUUCUAUCAAACUUUGAAGAAGGUCCCUGUAAAAGCGCAUCUGUUUUCAGGGUAGGGGCCAGAGUCAGCCACCCACACCAGAGUGAGAAUUGGUGGGUGCCCUAGCCCCGGCAGGAUCUGGCAUUUUACUGGACAGAGAGAGGAGGCGGCACCCACUGGGGCUCGGGCAACCAUCCCGGCUACCCCCGCCCCGGCCCACCAGGAGAGGAGGGAAGCCUUGAAGUGCCAGGACUUUGAAUCGCCCAUCUCCAUGGCAACGCGUGGGCACAAAGGGCCGGGCCGGCGAGCAGGCGGCGGCUGCGCAAGCUGGAAGGAGGAAGGGAAUCUUUUAUUUAUGGGGAGGGAGAGUCGGGGAGCCAGGCUGCGCCCACGCUCAGGGCCAGGCCGCAGUCUUGAGGCUGGGCCCCCUGCCCCAUAGCCAGGGCCUCUGAGCAGCACCUGCCCACACACCCCUGACCCUCCGGGCCCGGCUGGGUGGACGGAGCAUGGGCAAAUGGAGGGCAGAAUGGAGUGAGUGUCCAGCAUGCACCCAACCUGGAGAUCGGCCCAGAGGGUCCCUGGGAGCCUGCCAUCCUCCAUACCCCAGUCUCUGUGAUGUGGGCACCCGGGCAGAUACCAUGCUGAGAGCCAGCUGGGCCUGCAGUGAGGAAAUGUGGCCCAAAGCAGACUGCAGAGCUGGAACUCAGGUGGGGCUGCUGCCAUAGGCUCUGAAGACAGUGCAGGAGACCGGGAGGGGUCACCAGUGCCAAGGCCCUGAGGCAAGCCGGAGCUGGGAGCAUCUGAGGAUGGGCAUUAGCGCGGGGCUCCAGGGUAUAGCCGGUCCACUGCAGGCAGCCUGGCCUCCCCAGAGACCCAGCCACAGCUCCUCACCUUGGACAGGGGGCCCUGGGCCUUGGGCAUCAAAUGACCUGCCUGCCGUGGUGGAGGCUGCCACACCAAGACGCCGGCCCACGGCCUCCAGCAGCCCAUCCCCACCUUCCCAAGCCCCUCCCCUCAUGGCUUACACCCUGUUCCCUGAGCCCCCAAACAUGGGAAAUGGCACCUAUUGUGCCCCAGCGGGGGAAUUCUGACCCCAGACCCUGGGGGCAGUGCAGAAACCACCACUGAAUCAGAUUUUAUUUCAUCUAAAAAAUAUCUGAGCCAGAUUGAAAGCAGCAGGGAAAGGGUCCCAUGGCUGCUUCCCCCAGCCCCACCCUCCACAGGCCCUGGGCCCUCCCAGCCCCCAUUUCCUUUCCUUGAGAAUGUCUAAAGUGGGGCAAUAUUUUGUGAAAUUGGAGGCACCGCGUUAGAAAUUCCAAACCCGUGUUUAUGAUGAGCUGCACGCGCGUUUCGAACCUGCCCUGGUUUUGAGCUGAGGGAAGUGGAGGGUGCAGGAGUUGCCCACUCCAGAGGCCCUGGGUGUGCGUGAGGAGCCCUGAGGCUGGGCCGAGAGCCGCUUGUGGGAGGCACUGUGCCCCCUGCCCCCGAGAUCGGGGCCUGGGUGCCCAGGACACUACAGACCUUUUGGGGAGCCUGGUGGUUGGGAAGCCUAGAGCUGGAACCCACAGGCCAGAGUCUGAGCUUUCAUCCCCCACCCCCGAAGACGCUCCGCCAGCCACUGCCUGCGCAUCAGGGGAGACAAGCUCCCCCCACGCCCACCUUGCCUCCAGCAGGGCUGUUCCUCCCCUCAUCUGCAGGAAUCAGUUUUUUCUUUAACUGAGCCCCAUGCUGGGGAAGGGAGAGCUCCAGGGGACCAGGCAGCAGAGAGGGGAGGGGAGAAGCCAUCAAACAGGCGGGGGGCUGGGGGGCCAUGCACUCAGCACAGAGCCCCACAUGGCAGGAGGGGGCUGGGUGGUCGGCUUAGAGCCCAUUCUCUCCUGGACACUGUUCUGGAAUGGCCCCCGGCCCCUCUGUUCCAAAGAUGGGACCCUCCGGCCCAGGGACCCCGUAUGAUGUCCCCCAAACCACCUCUCUUCCCAGACCUCAUCAAUGGCAAUGAAUGGUGCAUCCUGGCUGGGGCCGCCGCCCCUCACUGUGAGACAUCAGCCCAGACGAGCGCCCAGCCCCUCCUGGGGUCUCAGAUACUCAGAAUGAAAGGCUCACAGCUGCCAUGAACUUCCACAGGACUUUGUGGUUCCUCCUGCACCCCCGGUGAUGCUUUCAUCCCUCUCCAGCACCGUUCCAGAGGCCAGAAAACCAUGAUGUUUGGGGUCAAACAGCUGGGAGAGGCAGUUGGAACUCAGGCCAGGCCUGUCUGACUGGACAGUGCUGAGACUGGGACCCCGCUCCCCUACAAGUGCUGUCAGUGCACCCUCGAUGCCCCCCAGAGCUUGCCAUGCCCCGACAGUUCCUUCAUGGCCAAAGUGUCCCCUGGCACAGGAUACCCUGGGGUGCCAUGUCUGCAAGAGCUCACACCCUUCUCUCCCCAGCUGCUGCUAACUGCUGCCAGAGGUGGGUGUGUGGAGGGCUCGGGGCCUCUUCACCCUCCCUGCACCAACUCAGCUCCAGAACAUUCCCAGCAGUGAGGAGAGGGUGGCCACUGUGCUGCAGCCCCAAGGGAUGGGCAAGGCCAUGCCAGCUGGAGUCAUCCAUGUCCCCUCGGACAUGGUGGCCUCAUUCAGAGGGCACCAUGGAGAAGGGUACAAUGAGGGUGGCUACCAGAGACAGUGGAGAUGAGGCGGUCAGGAAGCCCAGUGACGGGCCUGGAGGGGACACACGGCCAGCUGGGCACAGGGCACGAGGCCUUUGUUCUGCGUGCUGUGGCAUACGGUGCUGGCUCUGGCCCAUCUUUUGUUAGUGGUGGGUUCAGCUCUGUUCCUUGGAGCUCCCUUAGCCCAGGGGUCCACCUCCCCUCUGGGCAGCGCCAAUCAGCGCAUUCUGCCUCAGCCAGCUGUCAGCCACCUGGACCUCCUCCCUCAUUUUACCAUCCUGGAACAUCACGGUGCCUGGGGCAGGCCAUGGAGACCUGGCUAGCCCAUGAUCUGCUCAGUCCUCAUCAGCUGUUGUGACAGAAACAAGUCUGUGCUGAUGAGCUGAGCCGACCAGGCUGCAGCCCUCACUUCAGGAGAGGGUCAGGCCCAGCCAGGCCUGGUGAGCAGGUGUGGGGACGGACGGGUGCUCAUGUGUGGGAGGUUUCUUAAGAGUGGGUGAGAGGAGGACGGAGAGGGGACCAGUGAAGGAGAGUGGAGGGCACUGCCCCCGUGGGGCAGGACAGGGUGGGGCUGGUGUUAGCUGGGUUGGGUGUGUGGGUCUGGCAGGGAGCCGGGCAUGGGAGUGGGUCCCGAGGAGUGCGAGGUUGGAGCCAGGACCAUGGGCCUCACCAUAGAGGCCUCACCCCAGGGCAGAGGGAGCUGACAGACGGGGCUGACGGGAAGGGGGGCUUCCUGUCAUCAGAGGACAGCCCAUGGCCACCUUUGUGGGGACCCCACAGGGAGAGGCUGGCCCCUGAGGAUGCUCAGACCUGGUUCAGCAUGGCCAGGCCCUGGCCUAGCCCAAGGUCAGCACUGGCCGCUACCCUGGGGGCUGAGUCUCCGUCUCGCCCUGUGACAUGGUGCCCACACUAUGAGCCAGUGUCAACCCUUUGCCCAUGUCCCGGGAGCCUUGUGUGUCCAUAUUCACGGCUGAGAGCCUGCCGUGGGGGUCUCUGCACUGGGGGAGGUGGGUCCAGGGUGUGUGGCCCCUGAGAUUGUCCAUCAUGAGUGCCACCUGGAAGGUGCCGGAGCCUCACCCUGUCCUCCAGGGCCCAGAGUGUUUUGGGGAGAUCCUGUGCUGGCAUCUUGGCUGGGCCAGGAUGGUGUCUAGGAGGGACCCUUGGGAGGGAAGCAGGGGCAUCAGGGGGCCUGGUGCUGGGGUGGGUGGCAGGAGAGGCCUGGAGGGCGGCGGCCCAAGCCAGUGGCUGGGCAGGUGUCAGGAGGGAGAGGGGUGAGGCCUGGCCUCCCUGCCGCAGCCAAGCCAGGGCCUGGGUGUCCUGGGGGGUGGGACAAGACCCAGGGCAGAGGCAGGGCUGCUUGCAUGCAGGGUGGCCACAUCCCGGCCUGGUGAGUGCCGGCCGCUCAGUUCUGCGGCCCUCUGCUGCCCUCCGCCGGCCGCCUCUGUCCCUGCAGGCCCAGCCAUCUACCUGCAGAUCUGGACAGACCCUCAGACCCCAGGCUGGGAGGUCUCAGGAGCCAAGACGGGGUUGAAUCCCAUUUGAGGGCAUCUGAAGGCGUGAGAGCCUAUGUCAAGCCCCUGCCCAGCCUUGCCUUGGCCAGCAGCUCCAAGGGGACUCUGGUGGGCAGUGGCUAAAGAUGACAGAGGGGCUCAGAGAGGCUGAGCUGCUCUGUAAGGUUGCACAGUGAGCAGGGGCCGAGUGGCCUUGGGAGAGGCAACAGCAGGAGGGUCCUCGUCAUGGCCAGAGCCCGGGGACAGGAAACCCCUGCUGGGUUCCCCCACCAAGUAGCUCCCAUUCCCAGCCCUUAGGGUGUCUCAGGAGAGGUUCCGGGGGAGGUCCCACCUGCCUCCUGCCUUCUCCCCCAACCACACCCUAAAUGGGUCCCAGCUCCCCAGCCCCUCCCACAAGGGCUCACCCGCCAGAGCUCGGGGAGAGGCCCUGCAGGGCGGCUGUUUCUCCGUGUGCUGCAGUCCUCUGGACACUGAAAACCAAUCGCAACCAUCUUAAUGGCAUUUAAUAUGCACAGUGAAAGUCAGCAGCCACAGCCACGGGCGUGUGCUCAGGGCAAGGUUUACAUGAAGAUGCCACCAGGCUUAGCCCAUGAGUGGCCUCCUGGGUCCCAGGAGAAGUGUGGGGUGGGGGUGCAGCUGGGUGGGCCAUGGUAGCAGAGACCUGGGGAGGGGAAGUGGGAGGUAGGAACUGGGCUAGGCAGGGACUCAGGGGAGGCUGAGGCCUGGAACAGGGAGACUGAGACCUCAAGGAGGCUGGGACAUUGGGAGUCAAGACUUGGGGAAGCUGGAACAUGGGCAGGCCGAGACGCAGGGGUUUAAGAAUGAGGGUCUGGUGCAGACCUGAGUUGGAGCCCAGCCGCUGCUGGCCCGACGUAGCUGGAGAGUGUGCUGACCCCAUGGUGGCUAGAGAAUGUGCUGUUGAUAGGGAAGGCAAGUGCUGGGAAGGGAAAAGUGUGGUCCAUUUAAAUGAUACGGAAGCAGGGAAAGGAAGUGCUGGGUAGAGGAGGGCAUGGUCCCAGACUAGGGCUCCAACCCCACGGACCUAGGUGAGAACAGGCACUUCCUACCCAAAUGUUGCAUUUCUCACGACCACCCUGGCCUGCCACGCCCCCAUCCUGUGCUUAUAAAAUCCCCUGAGACCUUAGCAGGCAGACACAGGCAGCUGGACGUGGAGAGGAGCACAUCAGCGGAGACACACACGGGCGGCUGGAUGUCGAGAUGAACGCACUGAUAGGCACCGGCAUGCUGGCAGGCCACUGACUGGCAGAACCACGCGGAGUUUGGCUGGGGCAGUUGGAGGACAGCCCGGGUGCACAGCGGCCCCACUCCAGGGGAAAACCUUCCCACUCCACCCCCUUCUAGCUUCCCCUAUCUGCUGGGAGCCACCUCCCCUCAAUAAAACCUUGCACUCAUUCUCCAAGUCCACGUGUGAUCUGACUCUUCUGGUACACAAAGGCAAGAACCCCAGGAUCCAGAAAGCCCUCUGACUAACACAAGCCACCCUACAGACGACAAACUAAAAAAGCCCCCGUGACACACGCCCACUGGGGCUUCAGCUGUAAACCUUCACCCCUAGACACUGCUGUGGGGUCGGAGCUCCACAGCCUGCCCGUCUGUAAGCUCCCCUAGAGGUUUGGGCAGUGGAGCACUGAAGAAGCGAGCCACUCCCCUUCUCACACACACUGCUAGGGCAACAAGGGAACUUUUUCCGUUUCACUGGCCCAAGGUGGCUGGACAGUGUGCUGGCCCCACGGUAGCUGGAGAGUGUACCGUGCUCCCUGGCUUUCCUCCUGAUGUAUAAAAUGAGUUAGCGGGUCCUGGGGGCUGUUCCCACAGUGACGUGGUGGAGGCUGACCCUGACACCCACCCCUGCUGAAUGCUCAGUGAAUGGUGGUUGCUGUCAGGAAGCAUCAUUGCUGUCCUCCAUCAGUGUCUGUGGGGAUGGGUGACUCUUGGAGGAUGCUUCCAGCAAUGUUGCACUGCCAGGACAGAGGCCAUCCACCUGCCUCUGGGCUUCCUGGUGUGAACAGAUGGAUGGAUGGGUGGGCCUGCUGCGUGCAGGGAGCUGAGGCUGGGUCUUCACCUAUGGGCAGGAGGCUACACAGGGCUCUGGGAGAGACAGCACUGUGGCUGGGACAGAGCCCAUGUGAUGAGAUGCCCUCGGUGCCCCUGGCCUCCCUCCUUGCUCCUGCCCCUCCAGGACAUCACCCAGAGCCCCCUUGCUCUUUUGGGGGGAUGCCUGGUGCCUGCGGUUUCUGUCACUCUUGAUCCCACCCACCCCUGCAGGUUGCUGGCAGGACAAGUGCAGGAGUCAUCUCACGGCUUUCCCUGGGAUCUCUGUACCCGCUGAGAACCGGGAGCUGCACACAGCCUGUCCAGCAUCCUGGGAACUCACCCUGUUGCUGCCACUUGUCCUGGGUCAUCCUGCGGCUCACUCCUUGCCAUUCAGACCCCUGUGAGGAGAGCACUGGCUGUGAGUAGCUCUGUGGCUAGUGAUGGUGAGGCAGGGCCUGGAGUAGAUCCAUCACUGAGAAUUCUUUUUCUUUUUCUUUUUCUUUUUCUUUUUUUUUUUUUUU